AUUGAACGCUGGCGGCAUGCUUUACACAUGCAAGUCGAACGGCAGCACGGGUGCUUGCACCCUGGUGGCGAGUGGCGGACGGGUGAGUAAUACAUCGGAACGUGUCCAGAAGGAGGGGGAUAACGCAUCGAAAGAUGUGCUAAUACCGCAUAUGCUCUGAGGAGGAAAGGUGGGGGAUCGAAAGACCUUACGCUUUUGGAGCGGCCGAUGUCUGAUUAGCUAGUUGGUGGGGUAAGGGCCUACCAAGGCGACGAUCAGUAGUUGGUCUGAGAGGACGACCAGCCACACUGGGACUGAGACACGGCCCAGACUCCUACGGGAGCAGCAGUGGGGAAUUUUGGACAAUGGGCGCAAGCCUGAUCCAGCAAUGCCGCGUGAGUGAAGAAGG
rnacentral:rRNA from 1 species